UACGGGGGGGGCAAGCGUUGUUCGGAAUUAUUGGGCGUAAAGGGCGCGUAGGCGGUGCUGUAAGUCUGUAGUGAAAUCUCUGGGCUCGAACUCAGAGUCUGCUAUAGAAACUGCAGUGCUAGAGUGUGGGAGAGGUGAGUGGAAUUCCCGGUGUAGCGGUGAAAUGCGUAGAGAUCGGGAGGAAGGCCGGUGGCGAAGGCGGCGCUCUGGAACGUUUCUGACACUGAGGCUCGAAAGCGUGGGGAGCAAACAGG
rnacentral:rRNA from 1 species